rnacentral:rRNA from 1 species
CUGGCUCAGGAUGAACGCUAGCGGCAGGCUUAACACAUGCAAGUCGAGGGGCAUCGGGAGUAGCAAUACUUGCCGGCGACCGGCGCAAGGGUGCGUAACGCGUGAGCAACAUGCCCGUAUCAGGGGGAUAAUCCAUGGAAACGUGGUCUAAUACCCCAUAGUAAUUAUGUAAGGCAUCUUAUAUAAUUUAAAGCUUUGGUGGAUACGGAUUGGCUCGCGUGACAUUAGCUAGAUGGUAAGGUAACGGCUUACCAUGGCUACGAUGUCUAGGGGUUCUGAGAGGAAGGUCCCCCCACACUGGAACUGAGACACGGUCCAGACUCCUACGGGAGGCAGCAGUGAGGAAUAUUGGACAAUGGAUGGAAAUCUGAUCCAGCCAUGCCGCGUGCAGGAAAGACGGCCCUAUGGGUUGUAAACUGCUUUUGUAUGGGAGCAAUAAGGGCUACGCGUAGUCCGAUGAGAGUACCAUACGAAUAAGCACCGGCUAACUCCGUGCCAGCAGCAGC